AUGAACGCUUGCGGCGUGCCUCAUCCAUGCCAGUCGAGCGCACAGACGAGGAGCUUGCUCCUCUGACGUUAGCGGCGGACGGGUGAGUAACACGUGGAUAACCUACCUAUAAGACUGGGAUAACUUCGGGAAACCGGAGCUAAUACCGGAUAAUAUAUUGAACCGCAUGGUUCAAUAGUGAAAGACGGUUUUGCUGUCACUUAUAGAUGGAUCCGCGCCGCAUUAGCUAGUUGGUAAGGUAACGGCUUACCAAGGCAACGAUGCGUAGCCGACCUGAGAGGGUGAUCGGCCACACUGGAACUGAGACACGGUCCAGACUCCUACGGGAGGCAGCAGUAGGGAAUCUUCCGCAAUGGGCGAAAGCCUGACGGAGCAACGCCGCGUGAGUGAUGAAGGUCUUCGGAUCGUAAAACUCUGUUAUUAGGGAAGAACAAAUGUGUAAGUAACUAUGCACGUCUUGACGGUACCUAAUCAGAAAGCCACGGCUAACUACGUG
rnacentral:rRNA from 1 species